rnacentral:rRNA from 1 species
CGCAGGCGGGUCACUAAGUCAGAGGUGAAAUCCUACAGCUUAACUGUAGAACUGCCUUUGAUACUGUUGAUCUUGAGUAUGGAAGAGAGAGACGGAAUUCCAGGUGUAGUGGUGAAAUACGUAGAUAUCUGGAAGAACACCAGUUGCGAAGGCGGUCUCUUGGUCCAAUACUGACGCUGAGGCGCGAAAGCGUGGGUAGCAAACA